rnacentral:lncRNA from 1 species
AAAAAAAAAGUAAAAAUUUGCUUUAUCUAAAAAUGCAUAGCUAACUUGAUUUAAAUUAGAGAAAUUUAAAACCAGUAUCAUUUUUUCUAAAGAUUUAUUUGGAACUUAAUUAUUUCUAUUGCUCUAUUGCUCGUGGUCAUGAUAAUUAUCUAUUUAAAACAAAUGCGAUCUGAUAACUCCAAAUAGAGCACCGGUAAAUUGGUAUUUUUUUGAAGAAAAUUGUUACUAGUCUCAUAUGUUUAUUUAAAAUAAAUUAGUUAGGUAUUUUUAGAGAUUAAAGUAGAUUAUUAUUAUUUUUACAAAAUAGAAUACCACCUUUCAAAUCAGCAAAAAAAAUCAAAUUUAUUUGGUUAAACAGUUGGAAGCGUCUGCUACCUGAUUUCAUAGUUCAGGAUCGAAAAUCAAAUUGUUUUGCAAGUUGAAAGUUACAAAACAUAGACUUUACAUGGCAAAAACACUUGAGGUAAAAAAGAAUAAGUUGCAUGCUAUCACAAUGCAUGUAAAGUAAAUAUACAAUAUAAACAUACUUUGUAUUUUUUUUUCAAUUUUUGUUUUUUGUGGUGGUUUAAAAGGUCAACUCUAUAUUGACAUUUGACGACCCUCCAAUUCAUGGCACAUUUGAUAGCUAACAAAACAAAUAUCCUAUAUGUCACCUCCAAAUGUAUUGGCUUUAAAUAUGUUCUAAGUUGAACUUUUCUAAGUGAGACUAAGUUUUUAGAAAGAAAAUCAUAUUUAUAACGUUAUUUAUUUGGAAAUAUGUUAUCGUAUUUUACACUUUUGAUGUUGUAGAUGUUUCACUAUUCUAUAUAAAUUUGUUUUAACCUAAAAUAGUCCGACUUAGAGCAAACUCCCAAGUCCUUUUUUAUUUUAGGACAAAGGUAGUAUAUGGCCCGAUAAAUAUUACUAUUAAUCAUUCAUAUAAGACGUACCUUUUAUUUAAGAUUUCAAGCUAGCUUGAAUUCCAACUCACUACCGGAAAAUGAGCCUAAAUCUCUUAGAGCAACUUCAACAGCUUUGUUAUUCUUGUUAUGGAGGCCUUUUAGAACUUCUAUAGUAGAAAAAUAGGUUCCAACAGAUGUGUUAUUUGGUUUUGUAAAAUAGAAAGUUUGCUAUCCCUUGAUUUUCGCUGGCCAUAUAUAGCCAACCACUCGCACUAGCUAUCUGAUAGCAAGGCUGUUGUGAACCUCUUCUUUUUUAAGAAGUUAUCUAUUUUACAAAAUGGCUAAACAUUAGAAUUUGACUACUAAGUUUAGCCAAGCUCUUGGAGAUGCUCUUAGGCCUUGUUUAGUUCCCACCAAAAUCCAAAAAGUUUUCAAGAUUCUCCAUCACAUCGAAUCUUGCGGCACAUGCAUGAAGCACUAAAUAUAGACGAAAACAAAAACUAAUUACAUAGUUUGCCUGUAAAUCGCGAGACGAAUCUUUUGACCCUAGUUAGUCUAUGAUUGGACAAUAUUUACCACAAACAAACGAAAGUGCUACAGUAGCGAAAAUCCAAAUUUUUUUACAUCUAAACAAGGCCUUAGGGGGUGUUUGGGACUGCUUCACAAACUCCACUGUGGAGCAGCUCCACAAAAAACUAAAGUUGUGGAGUACCUCUUUAGGUGCUCUCACAACUCCACCCUUUUUCCUCGAACUGAGUGCGUGGAGCUGAAACCGUUUAGCUAAAAAACGUGAAGCGGAGCUGAAAAACUUAGAGCAGAGCAGUCCCAAACACCCUCUUAGUCUUUCACGAGACCUCGAAGAAAACGUUAGAUCCAUAAUGCCCCACAAAUGCGCUGAAACACAUCGCUACUCUUCACAAAAGUAGGGUAUAACUAUGCUUCUUAUUAUUCAUCCCGUUAAUAAUUACUAUAUAUAUACAAUGAAGUAGACAUUCUUAUUAGUUCCGUUUGACCAUGGUCAGAUUUACAGCUUACACUUCAAAAGGCAAAAGCAGUAAGAGAACCAUGGACGCAAAUUUUAUGGUGCCCAUUGUUCAUUUCCCUCCCUUAAUAACAUCUUUUUGUGAAUAAAACACAUGGCAACGAGCUCAGGCUUGCUUUACGCGACAAGCAAUCUUUGGCAUUCAUGGUUUUGUACAAAUAGAGAAGGAAAGAAAUGGAGAAGUGUACUGAUGUCUCAGCUUUUGCCGUCUAUAUUUAUUCAUGGCCACAAAACUAGCUUGUUUUAUGGAUUUGCUUGCAAGAUAUGAUCAUACGAUUAAUAUGCAGGCAAGAUAUUCAAUAUAACUCCACAAGCGAUAACACAUAUUUCUUCAAGCUGACGGUACAACAUUAUAUUAGCAAAAAAUAUAAAUGUACAUUGUGCCUACAACACAAGGGCGUAUUUAAUGGAGCAACAAGGGUUCAAGAUCCUCCUACGAUUUGGUAGUCCAUGAAGCCCCUUUAAGCCCCAUGAAACUUUGAUAAAUGAAAGAGAGGAAGAAAAGACUACACGUGCUCUACUUAUCGAGGACUCAAAUUACCUCGAGAUCUCAAACUUUUCCUAAGGUCUAGAGUUCAUGGGGAUGUCAUUUGAAUAAGCCACUUAAUUGUUAGGGUUAAGAGUCCAAAUUAGACCAGAAGGUUGAAGAUGACUGCCCCCUCUUAUAGCCUCCUAAUAAGACCUUGAUCAUAGCCAAGAGGAUUGAGGGGGAUUGAAUCGCCCAAAAGUUAAUUAAAAUCCUCUUCAAUCUGCUCGAUCCAAUCUCUUGAAUCCUCAUAGUUUAGAAAUCAAACAAACAAGGUCUAAAUAUUCUGUCCCACUGGUACAGCACAUACUCCCUCCGUCCCAAUAAGAAUGCCGUCCUAGCGUUGGAGUGUUAUCAAAAGAAAACGUCGUUUUAGAGCUUGAAGCCUACUCCUUCCGUCCCCAAAUACUGCUAUUUCUAGCAGAUUUCAGACAGAUUAAUGUGGCAAACAAAAGACCAUUCUACCCUCAAUUAAUUUGGGUUCCACCAUUUCAUCAUGCACGUUAAGCUAUGGUUCUCUGGUUCCAACGAGCUGCAUUUAAUGCCAACUAAACAGACUCAAACAAUUACCAUGCGCCAAAGUACUACUCCCUAGAAGAAAUUAAAUGAGCUGGUGACCACGGAAGUUACAAGGAGAAAUUAAAUAGACUGGUGGACUGAAUAUGCUAAUAGAAAUAGCAGUAUUUGUGGAUAAAAAUUUCUCCUAGAAAUAGCAGUAUUUAGGGACGGAUGGAGUAUAUGUAAACUUUACAUAUACGAGUAAGCUACGAUGCAAAGCAUGCAGGCACAAGGACAACAUACAUAUAAAAAUAUAAAACAGAGUUCAUAAUACACCUGUGCGGUGAACCAGCACUCGAUAAACAUUCUGUCAUAAAAGUUUGGCCGAGAUUAGCGAAACUGGAGUUCAAUAAAGACUAACUGUGCUCACUUAGUGACGUCGCUAAGUACAUCACGACUACAGUGGUAAGUGGUAACAGGCUAGCUACUUCACCCUAGUAAACCUUAGAAGGUGCUCUAGAGCGUGAAGUUAGUCCUGUCCGAAGGAAGCUGGGGCUCCAGUAACUUGUCCAACAUAUCUCUCCGUUACACUAACGGUUGAUCAUAUUCCUCCACUUAUCCUUCAAGUCCACCUACAAUACAUCAUACAUACAACCCGUCAGUACCUUGAUUGGCAACCACAGAAACUUCACUGUAAUAACCAAGUACCCACCGGUGUUCUGCCGAUAAAAACGUCAGGGUUGUUAUUUAAAAUGUCCUUCCAAUUGCCACUACCAUACCUACACAUGAAACAAGCACAACAUGACGAUGAGGAACAUACAACAACAGCAAUCUAAACACCAGUGUUUUAGAACAAGAAAGCUGACGUGUCAAACAAUAAUAAUAUCUGAACAUCAAGACAAAACAUACUGUUCAACACCCUGUCUUAGUGUUUCUUCUUCUAAUAAGCACCACUUCCUUGCUCUUCUACGCCUAUUUUUGUUUUCUCCCGGUGGCAAAGGAGAAACUGGUGCUCUCCUUGGGCUAGGCAAGUGUGGUCUGCGUAAUGACGGUUCUGAACUCUCAGGACCAGGUGAUUCCUCCCACUGCAAACAAGUGUUUUCUUUUCAGAAACAUGACCAGAAUCUAACGUUUUACGGUAGUGAUAGUAAGCUAUCCUAUAGGCUAACUAUAAGGUAUCUUAAUUGAGCUUAAAUUAGACUACAGUAAGAUUACGUUUGAGUGUAACACAAAAGAGGGACUGUGGUAGAGCAUUCAUGAUCCGAAAUCCAAAUUUCAGUAGCUACCUUACUAAAGUGAAACAAAAUCCUACAACUAUUAGGUUUUGUGACCCCAUUUGAUUAUUUCUUGUCAUGGUCACAGCAUCUUACUAAGACUGCAUAUAUCCUCAAAAUAUUUCAUAACACAUAUCAUCCAGAUUUUGCAGAAAAUAAAGGGAAUCUAGGCAGGAGCAGAAAGUUGGCAAUGUAGAGAACAAUUUGUACUGACUACUGAAAACUCAAUCAGUAGAGAAACAAAUAAAAUGUGAACAGACGAUGUUUAAUGCAAAACAUUGACAUGAUAUAGGCACUGAUAUCAUCUUCAAUCACAAUGGAAACAAAGGCUAGUAAUUACAAUCACAAAUUCAAUUUAAAAAUCAAAGCAAGUUCAGUAUGGACAAAGUUCAAAAAGCAAAGAUAACUCUUUCAAAAACAAAUGCUCACCUGAAAGGUGCGUGCUGUUGGGUUCCAAUCCAUAAGGCUGUGAGGUUUACCUGUACUUGGACCCUUGCCUUUAUCAUUAGGAGCGCUCGGGCCUGCAGUGCCACAAGUUGUUGGUUGACCUCUUGCUUCUUCAGCAUCCAAACUAACGCUUUUCUCCGUCCUUGCAGCCAAUACCUCAUCUGCAACUGCCUUCGCAGCUGGAAGCGGAUCCUCCACAACACUGUGAAGCUCAGCACAGCUUGUUUUGAGCGAGUUAAUCACCUUCUCAACAGCUGGUGUUGAAAUUGGAUUUGCACUGGAGGUGGGUUCUUCAAGUUUGCUGAGAAUCUCAUGUGUUCUUUCUUCCCCAGCUGUAAAUUUCAUUUCAUAUAAUCAAUUAUAGGCUAUGAAGGCCAUGACCUUGUGAACACCAGAAUUACAACAAAUUAGAAACGUAAAACAUCUAGCAGCUAACAAUGCACAUAAAGACCUAGAGCUGGCCCAAAAGAUGAAACCCAAACUGCUCUAUAUAGAAUGCAUAGAAUUGCAAAAUCAAUAAGAAACAUAGAUGCAGACAAACAGAAAGAUACGGAGUACUAAAAUAACUGAUGUGAGUGGUAUAAAGCCAUUAAAAUAUUGUAGUGGCACCAUCAAAAGUAUUCAAAAGAUUAAAAUUAUGUAGUUUGAUCUAUGAUAAACAAGAAACUAGAAGCAGAAAAAUUAGCAAGUACACUCCAAUUACCUGUUUAGGAUAGCUUCAACUAAUGGUUGUUUCAGAGAUAACACUUUAGACAAACAGAUUUCUAGACCACGAUGAAUAUGACCUCAAAAUCCCGACUCAAUGUUCCCCUUUUUUUAUUAUAUCACUAAAAAAGACAUGAAAGCCCCACUACACACUAGUUCCUUGAGUUAACCACAGACAGAGCAAUCUACUCAAAUCACAAUGCUGCUGCAAAAUACAAUGUGCAACGAGUACAUUGCUUGUAUAUAAACUUAGAGUUGCAUUGCAUCUGUGUUUGUCGUACACUAUCUAGGUUAUCUUCUCUGCUCCAUGCCAUCAACAAAAUUAUAGCAUCGUGACUCAUCCAAUCCAGAGGCUACCAACAAAUUUACUCAUCAAACAAACCACAAUGCCCUGGAAACCACACACCAAAAAAAAAACAAAAAUGCUCACCCAAAAUGCGGAGCUUGGCACGGGUGGCCUCAUCCGCGGCACGCCAUGUCUCGACGGCCCCAUCCCCGACGAUCCGCUCAGCCGCCUGAACGAGCAGCGACGGCCCAAUGGCAGCCCACUCGGCGGCGAGGAGCUCCCUGACCCGCUCCUCCGUGGCGGACCGGUCGCCCCACAGCCCCCUGAGGACGGCCUGAGAGAAGGAGUUCCCGACGGCGGCCUCGAACUGGUCCACUGUGGUCAUGACCUCAUCGGAGGCGAGCGCGGGGGACCCUCCCUCGUCGACCGCGAGGCGCGCGCGGCCGUUGGGGCGCGCGAAGAGCGCCCCCGCGGCGUCGUCGAAGUCGGACGCGGAGACCGCGAGGUAGGCCGCGACGGCGAUGUGGGCGGCGGCGAUUGGGGAGGCGGGGGCGGGGAGCGCGGCCAGGAGCUGGAGCGUGUCUAGGGAGGAUUCGGAGACCGGGUCGGCGGCGAGGCGGCGGAGGAGGACCGCGCGGCGGAGGCGCGGGGUCGGGUGGGAGGGGAAGGGGAGCGCGACGAGGAGCUUGGUGACCACGGCGGCGGGGACCGAGGGGUCGGCCAGGACGUGCUCCAGGAUGAGGCUCGCGCCGACCGGCGUCACCCGCGGCAUUUUGGGGGCGCUUCGUGCGGAGAGACGCCGCGGCGGGGAUUCGAGCAAAGUGGGCGGCGGCGGAGAGACGCCGCGGCAUUUUGGAGCCUUGUUCAGGGGGUGUUUAGUUUUUUUUAAAAAAAAAUUAGGUUUUAGUUUAUUAUUUUGUAUAAUGGAAUCAAACACUAUGCAAUUUUUUGACAAAAAAGUAGUUAUUUUUUAUUUUGGAUUUUAGCCUCAAGAGACUAAAAAAUCCAAAAAGAGUCUCAAGAAGCUUUCAUAAGGGCAAUAAAUUCUGUAUUUUGAAUGGAACUAAAUAUGACCCUAAAAAUUUUAGCAUUUUGCAUUUCUCUACUCUAAAGGAAUUGACAUUUUGCAUUUUGUAUUUUAUGGGGAACUAAACACCCCCUUAAAGCAACUCCAAGAGCUUGGCUAAAAUUAAUAGCCAAAUUCCAUUGUUUAGCCAUUUUGUAAAAUAAAAAACUACUUAAAAAAGAAGAAGUCCACAACAGCCUUGCUAUUUUACAAAAUCAGAUAGCUAGUGUCAUUGGUUGGCUAUAUAUGGCCACCGAAAAUCAAGAGAUAGCCAACUUUCUUUUUUACAAAACCAGAUAAUACAUCUGUUGGAGCCUAUUUUUUGCUACGCAAAUUCUAAAAUAGCCUCCACAACAUGAAUAGCUAAGCUGUUGGAGUUGCUUUCUCAAAAAUUUGGCAAUUUUUUUAAAAAAAUUCUCCAUCACAUCAAAUCUUGCUACACAUGAAUGGGUCACUAAAUAUAGAUUAAAAAAUAACUAAUUGCAUAGUUUGCAUGUAAUUUGCGAGACGAAUCUUCUAAGUGUAGUUAAUUAAUGGUUGGACAAUAUUUGUUAAAUACAAACAAAAAUACUAUAUUGCCCAUUUUAUAAAAUUUUUGCAACUAAACAAGACCUAGAUAUAUACAACUCUAAUAUUCAUGUAUCCAAAGGGCCCUAUUUGACAUAAAAAUAAAAAAAAGAAAAUAUCCAUUUUUUAUUUUUUUUAAGGUUAAUAGAUUGAACAGAUACUCUAGAAGUAUCUCGAUAAUUAGAUCGCAUAGUAUAUUUGGCCAGUUCAUGAAGAUCUUAUUUGGAUGUUCAAAGAUUUAUCUUAAUCCAUAUAUAUAUCAGAGUAGAUUGAGAUGAACACCCGUAGGAUUUGUUUGUUUGCCUAGACUAAAUUGACUCGGGCCGAUAAGUAGAGUCCAGGUGUUCCUAGUUAGGCUAGAAUACUCUCCAAAGUACUCCCUCCGUCCCCAAAUACUGCUAUUUCUAGCAGAUUUCAGACAAAUUAGUGUGGCAAACAAAAGACCAUUCUACCCUCAAUUAAUUUGGGUUCCACCAUUUAAUCAUGCACGUUAAGCUAUGGUUCUCUGGUUCCAACGAGCUGCAUUUAAUGCCAACUAAACAGACUCAAACAAUUACCAUGCGCCAAAGUACUACUCCCUAGAAGAAAUUAAAUGGGCUGGUGACCACGGAAGUUACAAGGAGAAAUUAAAUGGGCUGGUAGACUGAAUAUGCUAAUAGAAAUAGCAGUAUUUGUGGACAAAAAUUUCUCCUAGAAAUAGCAGUAUUUAGGGACGGACGGAGUACAAGAGAAGGUUGCAUGCCUACGACUUUUAUUGUUUCCCUUGGUUCGAGUCAGAGCCUCUGUUCCCCAAGCGAAUCGAAGCCUUCGUCCAAGUCACCGAGGCAGAGCCUCCGCCCCAAUCCGUCGGAGUAGGCACUUCUCUGCCUGCACCCGCACCCCCUGCCAGCACCGACGCUCCAUCUCCUCCUCCUGUGGCCGCCGACGCCCCUCCACUUCUCCCUAGCACCGGGUACGCAGAGGUGGGAUGGAAAAGAUCUAGUCGCAGAUUCCACCGCCAGGAGCCAGUGUGUCCGAGAUCCAGGAGCGGAUUUCACUCUCUUCUCCUCCCCGACGAUCCCCCACCUCGUCUUCUCCUUUGAUGGCGUCCUCCCUUCUCUUCUCCUUCGUCGCCUCCCUCCCUCUGACGCUCCCAUGCCCGCAGACGCGCUCCCCUUCUUUCCUCCAUCGAAGAUCUAGCCCUUCCUUCGCUUCGGUCUCUCGGAGAUCUCCGACCACGCCCUCCUCUCCCCACGAGCGGCCACCGGCGCCGGUGUACGUUGUCAUCUCCACUUUGGAUGAUAACCGAGGAGUGGAGAGAGAAGAACAUGCUAGGGGCAUUAUGGUCAUUUUUUUUCAAUCUUGGUAGCGCGCCGAGUGCUCCAAGGACACUCUUACUAGGACAAAGGGAGUAGGCUUUAUUGUCACCAAACUCUUGCGUUGCUACCAACCACACAACCAAUUGGAUUUGGCAAGACCAUUUUGGAGAUAAUGUGAAAAUUAAAGAACAAAUUCAAAGCUUUUCCUUGUAUCUCACUAGAUCACAAAUUGUGUACUCAAACUAGAGGAUUCAGUUGAGACAAAACACGUGUAAUUUCACAUCCACGUCAAACGCAAAAGCAAAAUAAAGUCGUUAUCUUUCUCGAAGCAGAAAACGUAGUAGAAUUUAUGCCGUACUCUUCCGACCCGAGGCUAUCUAGGCCUUGUUUAGUUCCCAAAAAUUUUACAAAAUUUUUCAGAUUCUCCGUCACAUCGAAUCUUUAGACGUAUGCAUGAAGUAUUAAAUAUAUAUGAAAAUAAAAACUAAUUACACAGUUUGGUCGGAAUUGACGAGACGAAUCUUUUGAGCCUAAUUAGUACAUAAUUAGAUAAUAUUUGUCAAAUACAAACGAAAUUACUACUAUUCCUAUUUUGCAAAAAAUUUUGGAAGUAAACAAGGCCUAACCAACAAGUCGUCCAACGUGACUGUUGUUCGGAUAAGCCACUCUUAUACGAUACGUAUAAUAAUAAUAAUCAAACGAAAAUCGAAGCAAAUAAAAAAAAAUCAACUGUAAAAGACAGGCCCUCGAUCCAUUCCAGAGACACGAGAUGAGGCGACAAGGGAUCCGACGUGUCAGAGAGCUAGUGGCUGAGCACCGAUCUCGGACUCCCGGUGCGUCUCCACCGCAGGAUCCAGGCUGACCGCCCCCACGGCCGUCCGUCCCCACCCACGCACACGCGACGCUGACUCAUCGUCGCCUACACGCGGCGGCGUAACCGCCGUGCAAGCGCCAGUGCGCAUCCGGGUCCCACCCGUCAGCCUCGCCGUCGCACGUGCCCUCGGGGCUGCUGCUGAGUCACCGCGUCGCCCGCCCCGAGACGCCAUCUCUGUCGCGUUCGCGUACAAGCCCAGCGCACCCAGCUCCCAAACAGCCACGCGUGGGCCCAAGUCCACCACUGGACCCACGUGUCAUGCACCUCCCAACCCGCGCUUUUUCGUACCCGCACCGGCCCCACGCUGCUGGCGAAACGACGCUGCUGCUGCUGCUCCUGUCCCGUCCCACCCGCUUAGCCUUGGGGUCACUGACACCGUGUCCCCACGGUGGGCAUAACGGGAAUUCCAAAACGCCCGCCCGGCCCCAUCCCCCGCGUGUGUGGUGGCUUUAAAGCGACGCCGUCUCCUCGCUCGCUUCCUUCCCCAUUUCCUCGCAUCGCAUCCGCCCUCUUGCUUGCUUCACACGAGCGACGCGAUUACCAAAUUUUUUUCCUUUUCCGGGGGAGUGGUUGUUCGUCCUGUCGGCGGCGGGCGGCGGAGGGAUGGAGACGGCGGCCGCGGCGAUGCUAGAGGCCGGGGUAGGGCGGUUCUCGCGGGCGCCGGCGAUGGCCACGGCGCUGCUGGCGGAGAUGUGGGCGCCGCUGGCCGUGGCGCUGGCGGCGCUGGCCACGCUGCCCAGCCUGCUGCGCCGCCUGCAGGUCAUCGUGCUCCGCCUCCGGUCCCGCGGGAAGGAGGUCGUCCAGUCGCACAUCGGGACCUAGUACUCGCCCUGAGCCGAGGAGGAUGGCUCCGCCGACCGAAGACGAGAGCUCCGACGAAGAGGCGGAGGACGCCAGCUCAUCCGACGACGACGGGGAGGGGGAGGAUCUGAAGCGGAUCGGGUUCUACGAGGGGGCCUCGGACGGCGUCUUCCCCUGGGGCGGCGCCGUGGUCCGCACCUGGCAGGGCCUCCCGCGCCGCUUCUCCGGCUGCGCCUCGGGUAUCGGAGGAGGUUUCGGCGGCGCCACCGGAGGAGCGUUCCCUGGAGCUGUCAGGCUGUGGGGCGCCAGCACGGCCAGCGGCGGCGAGCCGUGGUGGGCCGCCGUCUGCAGCGCCGAUGAAGGCGGCUGCCGUCGCGACGGCGGCGCGGCCGCGGCCGCGGAGGCGGACCAGGUCGUCGUCGGGUGGCGGCGCGAGCACGCGUCGCAGCAGCAGCAGCAGCGGCGGCGCCGGCGGCGUGCCGUUCCCCUCGCUCACACGGGCCAGUGAAACGGAACGGCACGGCAACGGGGGUGGUGGGUGUCGGAUGUGAAUAUGCCACAGGGGCGACCAGCUGGAGAUGCCGAUCCCGUGCUGGGGGCCCACCUGUAAGUGGGUGGGAGGGAGGGACGAGGGGGCGGGGGUGAUUUAUUAGUGUGGGGGAUGGGGGAAGACUGGUUAGGCGCCGCGCCGGAUUGGUUGGUGACAACAUUAAAUUUUUUUUAUUAGUAGGAAAAAAAAGAAAAAAAAAUUGGGGCUGGUGCGGGGGUUGCACCGCAUGUUGUUGUACUACACCUGGGGUGAAAUGCAUGACGCAGCUGCACAUCUUUUUCACCUGUGCUGAUGAUAUGGCACCUUGCACGCAUGCAAUUUGUACCGCCAUUCUUUGAUUCAUGUGGUGACCAAUAAUAAGAUAAGUGAAAAAUGGUGAAAUCGCCUUGGGAUUUCUUUCUUUUUUGUCGUCUUCAUAUCUAGCGGUACCACACGUAGCUGCUCCAGGUUGGGAUAUCCUAUGAAAUCUCUGCGGAGUAUCUGUUGCCGUUGCCUACGAAACGUCUGCGUACGAACACGUAGCCGCGGGUGGCGCUUGACAGUCAGCCACGCCGCUUGACAGGCCUUGAUUAGAAAGCCGUGACACGAUGAGAGGGAGGUAAACGCCACGAGGCCCUCUCUCUCUUUUUGUAAAAUUUCGCGCGAUGUUGCGCAGGCAGCACGUGUGGUGUCGACUAUAAACAACGGCGACACCUCGUGGUCGUGUCUCGUGUGGCACGACCGAAUUUCAUUCCGCGUGCGCGCGUUCUGAUUUUACCAAGAUCCACACGUUACCGGAUCGUUUGUCUACAACACUUUCUCGUUGCUUCCGUUCCGUUCCGGUCGUACGCGCACGAGAACAUCCUGUGCGUCGGAGGUCACGUACAGGUACAGCCGCCCAUUCUUGCCUGACUCCCCACAUCCUUUCGUUCCUCGCGUAAGAGCAAGUAUUAUAAUACAGCUAAGAUUUUUUUACAGCCUUCUUGCAGCCCACUUAUAUAAUGGUUAGCUCAUCACUAUUAAUAUAUGGCUCACUUGUCUAUCUCACAGACUUUCUUAGUUUUGUUUUGCCUGAGCCGGCUGUAAGCUUACAGCCCGCUUUUACUCUCUUUCCUC